rnacentral:rRNA from 1 species
AGCAGUGGGGAAUAUUGCACAAUGGGCGAAAGCCUGAUGCAGCGACGCCGCGUGAGGGAUGAAGGCCUUCGGGUUGUAAACCUCUUUCAGCAGGGAAGAAGCGAAAGUGACGGUACCUGCAGAAGAAGCACCGGCUAACUACGUGCCAGCAGCCGCGGUAAUACGUAGGGUGCAAGCGUUGUCCGGAAUUAUUGGGCGUAAAGAGCUCGUAGGCGGCUUGUCACGUCGGAUGUGAAAGCCCGGGGCUUAACCCCGGGUCUGCAUUCGAUACGGGCAGGCUAGAGUGCGGUAGGGGAGAUCGGAAUUCCUGGUGUAGCGGUGAAAUGCGCAGAUAUCAGGAGGAACACCGGUGGCGAAGGCGGCUCUCUGGGCCGUUACUGACGCUGAGGAGCGAAAGCGUGGGGAGCGAACAGGAUUAGAUACCCUGGUAG